rnacentral:rRNA from 1 species
AGCAGCCGCGGUAAUUCCAGCUCCAAUAGCGUAUAUUAAAGUUGUUGCAGUUAAAAGCUCGUAGCUGAAUUUCGGGGUUAGUAGGUUGGUCAUGCCUCUGGUAUGUACUGGUCUCACUGAUUCCUCCUUCCUGAUGAGCCGUAAUGCCAUUAAUUUGGUGUUGCGGGGAAUUUGGACUGUUACUUUGAAAAAAUUAGAGUGUUUAAAGCAGGCUUUAGCUUGAAUACAUUAGCAUGGAAUAAUGAAAUAGGACGUUUGAUCCUAUUUUGUUGGUUUCUAGGAUUGACGUAAUGAUUAAUAGGGAUAGUUGGGGGCAUUAGUAUUCAAUUGUCAGAGGUGAAAUUCUUGGAUUUAUUGAAGACUAACUACUGCGAAAGCAUUUGCCAAGGAUGUUUUCAUUAAUCAAGAACGAAAGUUAGGGGAUCGAAGACGAUCAGAUACCGUCGUAGUCUUAACCAUAAACUAUGCCGACUAGGGAUCGGAUGAUGUUAAUUUUUUAAUGACUCAUUCGGCGCCUUAC